CACACAGCAAUUUCUCACUGGCUGCCUAUUUCACAUACGCUUGUUGUUUGGUAGGCUUCCCUGGUGGCUCAGAGGUUAAAGCAUCUGCCUCCAAUGUGGGAGACCCGGGUUUGAUCCCUGAGUUGGGAAGAUCUCCUGGAGAAGCAAAUAGCAACCCACUCCAGUAUUAUCGCCUGGAGAAUCCCAUGGAUGGAAGAGCCUGGUAGGCUACAGUCCACGAGGGUCACAAAGAGUCGGACACGACUGAGCGACUUCACUUUCACUUUUACAAAGCACGUGCAGAUACAUCUACUUGGGAAUUUAACCUAGGAUGCAUCUUACUCGGGCUUCCCUGGUGGCUCAGUGGUAAAGAACCCAGCUGUCAAUGCAUGAGACACGGGUUUGAUGCACAGGUUGGGAAGAUCCCCUGGAGAGGGAAAUGUUAACCCACUGCAGUAUUCUUGCCUGGAGAAUUCCAUGGAUAGAGGAGUCUGGUGAGCUACGGUCCAUGGGGUUACAAAAGAGGUGGACAUCGCUAAGCAGCAGCAGCAGCAGCAGCAGCAGCAGCAGCAUCUUUCUCAUUUCUGAAAACCAGAAAAGAAAUUGAAAACUAAUGACUAAGGUCCAUCUAGUCAAGGCUAUGGUUUUUCCAGUGGUCAUGUAUGGAUGUGAGAGUUGGACUGUGAAGAAGGCUGAGCACCGAAGAAUUGAUGCUUUUGAACUGUGGUGUUGGAGAAGACUCUUGAGGGUCCCUUGGACUGCAAGGAGAUCCAACCAGUCCAUUCUGAAGGAGAUCAACCCUGGGAUUUCUUUGGAGGGAAUGAUGCUGAAGCUGAAAUUCCAGUACUUUGGCCACCUCAUGCGAAGAGUUGACUCAUUGGAAAAGACUUUGAUGCCGGGAGGGAUUGGGGGCAAGAGGAGAGAGGGACGACAGAGGAUGAGAUGGCUGGUUGGCAUCACUGACUCGAUGGAUGUGAGUCUGAGUGAACUCCGGGAGUUGGUGAUGGACAGAGAGGCCUGGCGUGCUGCGGUUCAUGGGGUUGCAAAGAAUCGGACACGACUGAGUGACUGAACUGACUAACUGAACUGAAUGAUUUAUAACUUACUGAGACUUUUACAUAUAAUGAUCUCACUCCUCAAAAUGACCUAGGGAAAUAGGUAGAAUAGGUUUAUUAUCCUCAUGUUCCAGAUAAGUUAUCUAACUCUUAGGAAGGAAAGGGCUGAAGGUUACCCACUUAUAGAACAUGAUUAAAAGCAUGGAUUCUUGGAGUAACACUGCCUGUGUUUGAUUCCUAGUUUAACUAUUUAUUAGCUAUGCAAUCCUGGGCAAGUUCUUUAACUCUCUGCGCUCCAGUUUCCUCAUCUAUAAAGUGAGGAUAACGAUAGUAUGUACCUCAUCAAGUUACUGUGAAAAGUGCAUCUGAUAACCCAUGUAAAGCAUUAUGUGUUAUGUCUGGCACAUAGUAAGUUCUUAAUAAACACUGGCUAUUAAAAAGUGAUCCAGCCAGGACUUUGACCUAAUUCUCUGACUCCAAGUCUAGCGGUCUUCCUAUCAUUCAAGUUAGUCCUCUUAGAAAAACAAGUUGAAAUAACUUUUUUUUGAAAUGCUCUUUUCAGGAGUAGCUGAGCCAAGGACAUUUUGUUUAGAUUUUUACUUAACUCAUAACGGGAUUACAGAGCAGUAAUAAGAACUUAAUGUUGUUACAUCUUAUGAAAUCACUUCAUAGAAUGUAAUUUUGGGAGAGAGUACAUUGAGGAUCCUAAUAUCAACAAUAAAGAGUUGUUCUUUUCCAUUUUAAAUGUUUUCUCCAGAACUUCAGAUCUAGAGCAAAUGUGUCAUGUCUUUUUGUUAUGAAACAUGCACAGAUUUAUUGUGUGUCAAAAGAGAAAACUUCUCUUUCAGCUGCAAAUAUUUCACAUGAUAUUAAAGGCUGCCCAAACUAUUUAUUACUUUUUUGUAUCUUUAGGGCUGUAUCCUAGAAGGAUAAAAAGGCUGGUGUAUUAGAUUAUGUGUGAGAAUUUUUUUUUUUGCAUUAGUUUGUAAAACUAAAUAAAACAAAACAAAAAACUUGGA
ensembl:lncRNA